GACGUAGGAUGCGAGCGUUGUCCGGAUUUAUUGGGCGUAAAGAGUUCGUAGGUGGUUUGUUAAGUCUGAUGUAAAAGACUGGGGCUCAACCUCGGGACUGCAUUGGAUACUGGCAGACUUGAGUGUGGUAGAGGCAAGCGGAAUUCCAGGUGUAGCGGUGAAAUGCGUAGAUAUCUGGAAGAACACCGGUGGCGCAAGCGGCUUGCUGGGCCAUAACUGACACUGAGGAACGAAAGCUAGGGUAGCGAAUGGG
rnacentral:rRNA from 1 species